rnacentral:misc_RNA from 1 species
AAGUCGUAACAAGGUUUCCGUAGGUGAACCUGCGGAAGGAUCAUUAUCGAAUAUGAUUCGAAGAGGUAGAGAGACUGUCGCUGGCCAGAUCUUGGCAUGUGCACGUCCCCUCACCUUUUCUAUCUACACACACCUGUGCACCUAUUGUAGAUCCCUUUCGAAAGAGAGGGAACUAUGUUUUCAUCACAUCACACACAAUGUAUGUCUAGAAUGUUAAAACAAAAUAUAUACAACUUUCAGCAACGGAUCUCUUGGCUCUC